rnacentral:lncRNA from 1 species
AUCAGGGCAAAGGCUAAGUAGAGUCCACAUGGAAGAUUGUCAAAUAUUUUCCUAAAAGUAAGUCAAAAACCUCAGCAUAUAUAAUAAAAAUAUAAACAAAUAUUUUGGUACAUAUAUAAAUACAAAAUUUAGGCUGCACCUAUCUUUAGUAUCACCCUCUUCUCCUUUUCAAUUCUUGUUGUGGUUUCACCCAAAAUUCUUUCCUUGGAUUCUUAGCUUUCUCAAACUACCCAACUCCAGCUUUCAAGAUUGUGAUUUUUGAAAGCAACUCUUUAAUUUCCAAUUAUUUCCCAAUCAAGAAAAAUAUUCAGAAAAAAGUGAGUAUGAUAAAAGUAGGGAUGAUGGUGGAAUUAUUGGAAGAAUAUGGAAUUGUGAUAUCAAGAAUGAGAGAGCAGCUCUUUCUCCCAAGGCGUUUGCAAUUUCCUUUGUUUUUUCAGAGUUUUCGUUCCUCUGCAGAUACAGAUUCUUCCUCUUUCCUCGUCUACUUCUAGUUUGUUUAAAUUCUAUACGAACAAUUUUUUUUAUUUGAUUUUUAAUUACCAGAUAGGGAAUUUCAUUUCUGCUAUAUUGGUCGACUUGAAUCUUUGUUAAGUUAUAGCUUCAUAUAUACGUGUAAUGCGAGGAGAUUUUUGUGUUUCUUUCCAAUACAAAUGUAUACUUCGAAUCUUGGAGUGUGCAUCACUAUAGAUGAUGAUUCAUUUUCUUCAAAUGAACAGAAAGAUGUUUAUACUUUAUCUUCGUUUCAUUGUUUUGGGGUGCUUAUUUUUAUGAGCCAAUUAAAUGCCAUAUUGAAUUUUGUUUGGUAAAUUGAUAUUGUAUAGUCGUUCUUAAAAUUCGUCUUCUUGUUCUACUGGAUAGUUCAGUUCAAAAUUUAGAAAUUGAGUAUAACGAAAACGAAUAUUUUUUUGGGCUUUUCAUUCGCUGUUCGAUACCUACAUCGGGGUCGAUUAAAUUCGGAUUCGCG